ACGAACGCUGGCGGCGUGCUUAACACAUGCAGGUCGCACGGAAAGGCCCUGCUUUUGUGGGGUGCUCGAGUGGCGAACGGGUGAGUAACACGUGAGUAACCUGCCCUUGACUUUGGGAUAACUUCAGGAAACUGGGGCUAAUACCGGAUAGGAGCUCCUGCUGCAUGGUGGGGGUUGGAAAGUUUCGGCGGUUGGGGAUGGACUCGCGGCUUAUCAGCUUGUUGGUGGGGUAGUGGCUUACCAAGGCUUUGACGGGUAGCCGGCCUGAGAGGGUGACCGGCCACAUUGGGACUGAGAUACGGCCCAGACUCCUACGGGAGGCAGCAGUGGGGAAUAUUGCACAAUGGGCGGAAGCCUGAUGCAGCAACGCCGCGUGCGGGAUGACGGCCUUCGGGUUGUAAACCGCUUUCGCCUGUGACGAAGCGUGAGUGACGGUAAUGGGUAAAGAAGCACCGGCUAACUACGUG
rnacentral:rRNA from 1 species